rnacentral:tRNA from 1 species
GAUCCCGUAGCUCAGCUGGAUAGAGCGCGGCCCUGCGAAGGCCGAGGUCGGACGUUCGAAUCGUCUCGGGAUCG